UCCGAGUUGACCCCGGCAGUCUCCGAUGAGUCCCCGGCAUAACCCGCUGGCAACAUCGGACAAGGGUUGCGCUCGUUGCGGGACUUAACCCAACAUCUCACGACACGAGCUGACGACAGCCAUGCACCACCUGUGCAGGCUCCGAAGAGCGCCCGCUUUCACGGGUUUCACCCUGCAUGUCAAACCCAGGUAAGGUUCUUCGCGUCGCAUCGAAUUAAGCCGCAUGCUCCGCCGCUUGUGCGGGGCCCCGUCAAUUCCUUUGAGUUUUAGCCUUGCGGCCGUACUCCCCAGGCGGGGUGCUUAAUGCGUUAGCUUCGGCACGGACGGGGUCGAUAUCCGCCCACACCAAGUAUGCAUCGGUUAGGGCGUGGACUAC
rnacentral:misc_RNA from 1 species